GCAGUCUGCACUAUGCCCUAGAUCAGGGUCGAAUCAGUGCUGGAUGUUGAGGAUCUGACAUCUGGAUGAAGAGGGGGAAAGAAAAAACAUUGAGAGCACUUCUGGGAUGGAAGGUAGGAACAGACACCUAUAAUCUCAGGACUCAUAGCCUGAGGCCCAAGGUUUCCAAGUUGAAGGACAGCCUGUGCUACAUAGGAAGUUGUAGCCUGGGCUACAAAGACUGCUUCUGCCCUCUACUUGGAAUCUAGAACAUAAGAUUUUCAGUUCUACCCUCUUCUCCCUUCUUCACGUCUGCUGCUGUCUGGUUUGCCAUGUUCUUGUGUUCCCAAGGCAAUGAGGUGGAUCACUGAACAUUGCUUUAAAAACGAAGAGAGAAGAAAAGGAUAAGAAGACAAGAGACUCAGAGUGUAGACUAAAUGUCA